rnacentral:rRNA from 1 species
GAUGAACGCUGGCGGCGUGCCUAAUACAUGCAAGUCGAGCGAACGGACGAGAAGCUUGCUUCUCUGAUGUUAGCGGCGGACGGGUGAGUAACACGUGGAUAACCUACCUAUAAGACUGGGAUAACUUCGGGAAACCGGAGCUAAUACCGGAUAAUAUUUUGAACCGCAUGGUUCAAAAGUGAAAGACGGUCUUGCUGUCACUUAUAGAUGGAUCCGCGCUGCAUUAGCUAGUUGGUAAGGUAACGGCUUACCAAGGCAACGAUGCAUAGCCGACCUGAGAGGGUGAUCGGCCACACUGGAACUGAGACACGGUCCAGACUCCUACGGGAGGCAGCAGUAGGGAAUCUUCCGCAAUGGGCGAAAGCCUGACGGAGCAACGCCGCGUGAGUGAUGAAGGUCUUCGGAUCGUAAAACUCUGUUAUUAGGGAAGAACAUAUGUGUAAGUAACUGUGCACAUCUUGACGGUACCUAAUCAGGAAGCCACGGCUAACUACGUGCCAGCAGCCGCGGUAAUACGUAGGUGGCAAGCGUUAUCCGGAAUUAUUGGGCGUAAAGCGCGCGUAGGCGGUUUUUUAAGUCUGAUGUGAAAGCCCACGGCUCAACCGUGGAGGGUCAUUGGAAACUGGAAAACUUGAGUGCAGAAGAGGAAAGUGGAAUUCCAUGUGUAGCGGUGAAAUGCGCAGAGAUAUGGAGGAACACCAGUGGCGAAGGCGACUUUCUGGUCUGUAACUGACGCUGAUGUGCGAAAGCGUGGGGAUCAAACAGGAUUAGAUACCCUGGUAGUCCACGCCGUAAACGAUGAGUGCUAAGUGUUAGGGGGUUUCCGCCCCUUAGCGCUGCAGCUAACGCAUUAAGCACUCCGCCUGGGGAGUACGACCGCAAGGUUGAAACUCAAAGGAAUUGACGGGGACCCGCACAAGCGGUGGAGCAUGUGGUUUAAUUCGAAGCAACGCGAAGAACCUUACCAAAUCUUGACAUCCUUUGACAACUCUAGAGAUAGAGCCUUCCCCUUCGGGGGACAAAGUGACAGGUGGUGCAUGGUUGUCGUCAGCUCGUGUCGUGAGAUGUUGGGUUAAGUCCCGCAACGAGCGCAACCCUUAAGCUUAGUUGCCAUCAUUAAGUUGGGCACUCUAAGUUGACUGCCGGUGACAAACCGGAGGAAGGUGGGGAUGACGUCAAAUCAUCAUGCCCCUUAUGAUUUGGGCUACACACGUGCUACAAUGGACAAUACAAAGGGCAGCGAAACCGCGAGGUCAAGCAAAUCCCAUAAAGUUGUUCUCAGUUCGGAUUGUAGUCUGCAACUCGACUACAUGAAGCUGGAAUCGCUAGUAAUCGUAGAUCAGCAUGCUACGGUGAAUACGUUCCCGGGUCU